rnacentral:rRNA from 1 species
GCCCAGCCCUAAACUUUGAUAGCACCUUACGCCCGCUAUCCGCCAGGGAACUACGAGCAUUAGCUUAAAACCCAAAGGACUUGGCGGUGCUUUAGAUCCACCUAGAGGAGCCUGUUCUAGAACCGAUAACCCCCGUUCAACCUCACCCUCUCUUGUCAUCCCCGCCUAUAUACCGCCGUCGUCAGCUUACCCUGUGAAGGCAUCAUAGUAAGCUAAAUUAGUAAAACCCAAAACGCCAGGUCGAGGUGUAGCAUAUGAGAGGGGAAGAAAUGGGCUACAUUCCCUACCACAGGGAACACGGACAGUGUAAUGAAAAAACACUAUGAAGGAGGAUUUAGUAGUAAACAGAAAACAGAGUGUUCUGCUGAAACUGGCCCUGAAGCGCGC